rnacentral:lncRNA from 1 species
UAAUUAAUUAUUCAAAAAAAUGGAUCAGAAUACAAAUAAUUUCGAUAAAUAAUUAAAGAAAGUCUUCCGAUAUUUUUGAAGGCAUAAAAUCGAAAAUUUCUAAAAUAUAAUAAUCGAAAAAUCUCAUUUGAAUAUUCAAAUGUGAUAGCAUUUAGUAACCACUGGUGUACUUAUCAUGCCUUUUUUGUUUUCUUUUUCUUUUAACAUCUUUUGUGAGUUUUGAUGAAGUCAUGAAACAAUAAAAGGUUAUUGAACUGAAUUAGUGAAAAUGCAGUUUUCUUAGUUACGGGUCAACUUAGAUUACUUACCUUGUGUAUUGUAACUCCUUCCAUAAUAAUCAAAAAGUAGUCGCGGGUAUGUCGUUGCACUAAAAUAAUUGCAUUGCGUGUAGUCUAGAAGGCCAGUCCCUUAAUUGUAAGACUAUCUAGCUAUGCUAAGAGAUUGAGUAUUUUGCUUGAAAACUGCAUCAUAGUUACAAAACUUACAUUUAAUUAUCCCCAGUUGAAGUGGCUUCGCGGACCGAAUAUCAUUUAUUGUGUAAACCGUCCCGGAUCCUGAGAGGAG